GGGUUUUUGUGUCCUCCAAUAAUCGUCAUCGGCGUUGAAGUCAUAAUCAGUCGACCUCUAGUACACACACACAACACACAUGUACAGACAUCCAGUGUUAGUGAUUUACAACUCACACUAUGAACACACUAUGAAUACACUAUGCAAGAAAGACAUGGUGAUAGUUUGCAUUUCAUAUCUAUAUCAUACCUCCCUUUCUCUGUCCCUCUCUCUCUCCCUCUCACCUCUCUCCCUUACUCUCUCCUCUUUUCCCUCCCUCCCUCUCUCCCUCCCUCUCUCCUCUCUCCCUUCCUUUCUCCUCUCUCCCCUCCCUCCCUCUCUCUUUCCUCUGACACCUCCCUCCCUCUCUCUCCCUCACUCCCUUUCUCCUCUCUCCCCUCCCUCUUUCAUCUGACCCCUCCCUCUCUCCUCUCUCCUUCCCUCCCUCUCUCUCCCUCCCUCUCUCCUCUCUCCCCUCCCUCUCUCCUCUCUCCCAUCCUCUCUCUCCCUCCUUCUCCCUUUCUCAACUCUCCCUCCCUCUCUCCUCUCUCCCUUCCUCCCUCUCUCUCCCUCCCUCUCUCCUCUCUCCCCUCCCUCUCUCCUCUCUCCCUUCCUCUCUCUCCCUUCCUCCUCCCUUUCUCCUCUCUCCCCUCCCUCUUUCAUCUGACCCCUCCCUCUCUCCUCUCUCCCUCCCUCCAUCUCUCUACCUCCCUCUCUCCUCUCUCCCCUCACUCUCUCCUCUCUCCCUUCCUCUCUCUCUCUCCCUCCCUCCUCCCUUUCUCAACUCUCCCUCCCUCUCUCAUCUCUCCCACCCUCUCUCAUCUCUCCCACCCUCUCACCCUUCUCCCAGCUCCUUCUCUUCUCUCCCCUCCCUCUCUGCUCUCUCCCUCCCUCUCUGCUCUCUCUCUCCCUCCCUCUCUGCUCUCUCCCUCCCUCUCUGCUCUAGUUGACUUCAGUGGUGGCUCAGUGGGCAGUAAAGGAGUGAGGAGGGCUCUCAGACCUCUACAGACACAGGUCCGUCCUCCGAGGCAUGCCUGCUACCCCGCUCCUCUCUGGUGCCCCCUCAGCCCUCCUCCCCAGGAAGGGCAGUGUGAAGGCAGCCACCAUGGGGCGCACCUUGCCCCCUCCAAAGGCCCUGCCAACUCUCCCUUGCACCUGCCCAAAGAAUGCAACCGCUCUCUUGGGGACCUCAAGG
ensembl:lncRNA